AGUUGCCCAGAUUAUUCAGAAAGGAAAGAGCACAGAAUGAAGUCUACCAAUCCCAUCCCUCCCUCCCAGUGCACAUACUGCUAGAAGGGGUACUGAUAGGAUUUCUGGAGAAGCUUCUGGGAAGCAUGUCCCGCACACUUUAGUUCUUUCUCUGCGAAGCUUGAUGCCUCAAUGUGAGGACUUAGGGUUGGGUAUUUGGUUGGGCAUUUUGAUGUCUUGAGAUGCUAGUGACAGGAAGUCAGAUGAGAAAUGAAUGUGAGGAGUAGGCCACGUUUGUCCAGUCUCCUCCCACUCCUUGCUUCAUGAUUCCUGCAGAGCAGCCAGUUCUUAGAGGAGCAGGCUGCACAUUCUCACGCAGGGUUUUCUCAGGUCAGUUCUACCUGAAGUGAGGAUGAUUCAUCCUGACAAGGCAGAAAUGGAUUUCCCAUGAUUACCAUAGUUUGCGUGAAGGUAUUGACUUUUCCUUGCAAAGCUGGAGCCCCGUAGGCCAUAAGCCGACAUCUGCCGUUCUUGCAUGGGUGAACGUGAGUACCGUGGGUACCGUGGCUACUACCUCACCUUCUAGUUCUAAGUCUUAGUCUAAGAGGGAGUGUCUGUUCAUGAAGAGACAAAGCCCCAGGAGCUGCCCAAAGCCCUGCCACUGGAGAGAUGUGCUGAAUCAGCUUGUGAAAAAUUAGGCCAGUCCUGUGUAGGCAGCUUCCUGGCCUGAACACACCUUAAGGUUGAGAGGUCUUGGGGUGGAGUAGCUGGCCGGUGAGCUCUCCCUUUAGUCUCUUAGGGUCAGUGUUGUUAGGAAUCUAUUGAAGUCCUGGCUGGGUUAGAAUGAAAAAAAGCCAGUGUAGGACGUUGGCUGGUAAAGAUGGUUUGGAGAUUGUAGAUUGAUUUUCCCUCAAUGAAAAAUUUCAUCUUAGGCUUUAGUGCCCAUAUCACAAUGACAAGUUCAGCCUUCUUUCCCUUGUAUUCCUUGACUUGAUUCUCUAAAUUUGAAUAACGAUUGUGUAUUGUUGGCUAACUAUCACUCCAGAUUUUGGAAUUUAUAGUCAAAACUCCUACGGCUCUGAAGUCUUCAGUUACAAUUCAACAUUUGAUUUUAUUCUGUUUUCCCUGAUUUCUGUUGUUUUUCUUUGUAUUGGUGUUUUCUUCCUAAGUAGCUUUGGAGUUCUCCGAGGGCAGGGAAUUUUGUGUAUGUGUGUGUUCCAGAGUAGGGGAGAAAAAAAGAGAAGAGGUAAGAUGAAAAACAGUAGGGAAAGGUUUGGAUAUUUGAGAUCAUCUCCAAAUGAACUUAGAUAUGUACCCAAUUAGCAGAUUGCACCACAAAUUAAUAUUUUAAAAAAUAAAUCCUGUAGUCAUUUUGUAAAUAGGACUGUCAUACUGCUGCAUUUUUUUCUAUUAAAAGUAUUACUUUGGUAAAUGUAAGCAUUGGAAAUAAACCAUAAUUUUCUCAUCCUGUUUUCAUCUUUUGACACUUUAAUCCUAGAGAAGCUCAGCACCAGUCAGCCCUUCUCCUCUACCCGAAUCCUUCCUACUCCUUCGUGAGAUCAGUAGAGCUCUGGACAUACCUGCUGCUGACCAACUCAACUUUAACUCAUUAACUGCCUCUGGAGUAGCUUGGAUUAUAGGUGACCACUACCACACCAGGUAGAGUAUCUUGCUGUAAGCAAGGGUAAGUAAUGCUUUGUAUAAGAAGUUUGUUAGCUAUAUGUGUCCUGGAUCCAGUGCAUUUCCUGCUGUAGGUUGCUGUUAGGAAAACUCUUGGAAAGCCUCUGUUCUAUUCUAUUUUCAGGGCAGAUAUAUUACUUUGGGCUGCAGGUGAAAUUGUGUUAUUAGGAAGGGGAGAGGCAUGGGAGCCCCAAGAGUGGCCUCCUUGUCUAAGCUGAAGUGCAGCAGCAAGCCCCUACCUGAUGAGAUGUGUUGGUGGAUGGGCUGCUUAGGAACUUUUUUGCAGGUUGAGAAAAGACAAUUUAUCAUUAUACUUCUUGCACCAGGGCUCCCCUUUCUGAUCUGAGAAGCACUAACAGCAUCUGAUUGUUGUUUUACAAACUAAAUAAAAUAAUUUGUCUGAAAAGGUAUAUAAAUAGUGCAUUGGUAUCUAAUAGCAACUGUCAUGAAUGAGCCAUUUUAGUGGAUUGUAUGUAAAUAACCAGAUGGAGAAUUUUUAUGUCAAAAGCAUACUUUAGAUAACUGUGCUUUGGGAAAGAGGAGGCAAUAAACAUAAUGCUUUUUAUCAUCUCUUUACUGGCUUUGAAAUGAAUCAGUGGUGGUGUGGAAUUUAGAAUAUUAGACUAUUUUGAAGAUAUGGGGCUCCCAUAUAUACACUUUCGGUGGGUAGAGAUAGUAUUGGGAAAUCUGCAAAAUCUUGAUAUUAGCCUCUUAAUCAUUAUACAGUGGGAAACAUUCACUUUUUCUUACAUGCUGCACAACAUGUAUGUAGACUACUAGGUUGAUAGGUUUUGAAAAGACACAAUCCCUGCUUAUAGUUUACCAAAGAAAAACAAUAGACUGUUGUGGAUGUAACAUAAUUGAGUGACUCAGUUUAGAGUAUAUAAUUGACACACAAAAGCACAUACACAUAAAUGAAGGAAUCUCUGAGUAUAAUCCAAUACAGUGGUGUCUGUGUUAAUUAUUUAUCCACGAUUUGAUAUUUCAAAGUGUGUCAAAUGUUCAUUUAUUGCAGAACUCUGUGAAGAAAGUGUUUUAAAUCUCAUUUUAUACAAGUGAAAAUUGAGCCUUAAGAAUCCACAUACAUAAUGGGGACUGAGGGUGUAGCUCAGUGGUAGAUCACUUGCAUAGAAUAUGUAAGUCCCUGGGUUCAAUCCCCAGCACUACUGCCUCCCCUCCCCCAACAAAGCAAAACAAAACAACAAUAGUAAGUUCAAGGCCUGCCUGGGCAACUUUUACUAAUUUUGUUUUUGUCCUUUCAGAAUUUUUACAUCCAGAUGAUUUUUGACUUGCGAUGAUUUAACCUACAAAUUUUUGACUUGAUGGAGUGAAAGCAAAAUGAAUUCAGUAGAAAUCAGGCUUUAAAUUCUUCAUUUGGGUCUUUUCCUGGGCUAGUGAUGUGUGGUAUGAUCUUUUCUCAUGAUUCUGGGCAGGUGGCAGUGAACUGCAGCUUCUAGUUAGCCCCCCAGUCAGCCCAGACAUCACAGGGGGAACAAAUGACACUUUAUUGUGUGCUGUGUUGCUAAACUAUGAUGUUUGGUACAUUAGAUAUAUUUUUGAUUUAUGACAUUGUCAAGUUAUCAUGGUAUGCCCAUGGGAUGUAACCCUAUUAUAAAUGGAGGAAUGUUCAUUUGAUAUGUAGGAAUGUGGUACAAACCUAUACAUGUUUUGAAUCUAUAUAAAUAUUCAUUACUUUUUUUCUUCCUUUUGCAUGAAACUUAAAAUAAACUUUGCUUUUCUUAUUUGAUUUAUGAUGGGGAUAUUUUUAUGUAAGUAAACAAAAACUUUCCUCAUUCUUUUACAUGUUUUCCUUGAUCUGACUAUAUAAUAACAAUGAAAAAUCCAUAAUUGAUUGAUAUUUGGAUGGUUUUCAUUCUUUUGCUAUUGUUUACAUAGCUUCUGCUUCCCAUAGGAUAUAGAAUGCAGAAUACUAUUAUUCCCUUGGUAAAAAUAAUAAAAACCUGAUGAUAUGAAAAUCAUACUUUUCUAUGGCAAUUCCAAAGCACAUUUAACUGAGUAAGCUUUGAAGAACUGAAUUACAGGGAGUGAUGGUGAGCUGGACACAGCUGUUUCCAUAUCUGGGGGAAGUACUCUAUAUGUGUGGGAAGGUAGAGAAGCAGGUCUCUGUAAAUGAACAGAUGGUAGACUUAGGGAAAAAUCAGUCGAGACUUUAAUAACAGUGUGAGUGGCCAUAUUGUUUGGCAUUUGGAAGUGACCUGUUAUGGUUUGAAUCUUAAGUGUUCCCCAGAAGCUCAUAUGUUGACCUUUUGAUCCGCAGCUGCUGGGUUAGGAGGUUGGGCUUGGUGGAGGUGAUUUAGGUCAUGAGAGAUGUACACUUGAAGGGGAUAUUGGAACCCUGGCCUUCUCUCUCUCUGCUUCUUGGCUACUAUCAGCUGAAAGCUUUACUCUACCACUCACUCCCCAUGAUGUUCUGCAUCACCACAGACCCAAAGCCAACAGAGCCAGCCAACCACGGACUGAAAUCUUUGAAAUCAAGCCAAAAUAAACUUUUUCUCAUUUUAAAUUUGCAUUUGUCAUACCAACAAAAACUGACAAGAAAUAUUUGACCCAAAUACAAAAAUAAAUUGUUUAACUCAACAAUCACUGUCUCCCAAUUUUACUGCAAAAAUGGCCGUGGCAGGGAAAGGAGAACUAGAUAAUUUCAAGUUCUUGAAUUUCGGAACUAUGCUAGAAUUGAAUGAAAGAAGAGCCAAAGUAAUGUGAAAUAUAUUUCUCAGCCUUCUUCUUACUCAAAUACAGACAAGAUCAAAGAGGCAAGCCAUUCCACCGUGAAGUUAUAGAAAGGUAUGUAUAGUGAAGUUAGUUGAAAUGUCCUUGUUUCCAUUAAGUAUCAGAGAUGCAUCCAAUUUAAUUAACACUUCAAAUUAGUCUCAGCUCAACUUUACUCUUGAAAUCUGCAUGUGGUGGUAUACACCAGUAAUCCCAGCAGCUCCACAGCUCGAGGCAGGAGGAUAACAAUUUUGAAGCCAGCCUCAGCAAUUCAGUGAGACCCUAACCAACUUAGUGAGACCUUGUCUCAAAAUAGAAAGUAAAAAGCACUGGGGAUAAUGUACCCCGGUUCAAUUCCCCAGUAAAAAAAAAAAAAAACAAAUAAACAAACAAAUAAAUAAAUCUGAAUGACCAGAUUCUAAUUCCAACCACCUGGCAAA